rfam:Myotis davidii contig78002, whole genome shotgun sequence.
GCCAGUUUGGCUCAGUGGAUAGAGUAUCGGCCUGUGGACUGGAGGGUCCCAGGUUCGAUUCCUGCAAAGGGCA